rnacentral:rRNA from 1 species
UACGGAGGGUGCAAGCGUUAUCCGGAUUCACUGGGUUUAAAGGGUGCGUAGGUGGGCAGGUAAGUCAGUGGUGAAAUCUCCGAGCUUAACUCGGAAACUGCCGUUGAUACUAUUUGUCUUGAAUAUUGUGGAGGUAAGCGGAAUAUGCCACGUAGCGGUGAAAUGCUUAGAUAUGACAUAGAACACCAAUUGCGAAGGCAGCUUACUACACAACGAUUGACGCUGAGGCACGAAAGCGUGGGGAUCAAACAGG